rnacentral:misc_RNA from 1 species
GAUGAAGAACGUAGUGAAAUGCGAUAAGUAAUGUGAAUUGCAGAAUUCAGCGAAUCAUCGAAUCUUUGAACGCACAUUGCGCCCCCCGGCAUUCCGGGGGGCAUGCCUGUCCGAGCGUCAUUGCACCCCUCGAGCCCGCGCGGGUUUCGGUGUUGGGCCGCCGUCCCCCGGGGGGGGGGACGGGCCCGAAAGGCAGUGGCGGCCCCGGGGCGACUUCCCGCGCGAUCGCAGCACCUCGCGGCCGAAGCGUUCGCCCCGCGGGCCCGCCUGGACCACCAGUGUGACGUACCGGUUGACCUCGGAUCAGGCAGGGAUACCCGCUGAACUUAAGCAUAUCAAUAAGCGGAGGA